CUCCAUUCGAGGACAUCCGAUAAAGUUGGAACGAUACUUAAAAUAUAAGCAUAUCCAAGCGCAAAGAUGACACACAAAUUAGGAGAUGGUCCAAAUUUCU